rnacentral:rRNA from 1 species
UACGUAGGGUGCAAGCGUUGUCCGGAAUUAUUGGGCGUAAAGAGCUCGUAGGCGGUCUGUCGCGUCUGCUGUGAAAACCUGGGGCUUAACCCCGGGCCUGCAGUGGGUACGGGCAGACUAGAGUGUGGUAGGGGAGACUGGAAUUCCUGGUGUAGCGGUGAAAUGCGCAGAUAUCAGGAGGAACACCGGUGGCGAAGGCGACUACCUGGCCUGUUCCUGACGCUGAGGCGCGAAAGCUAGGGGAGCAAACGGG